rfam:Pochonia chlamydosporia 170 chromosome 1, whole genome shotgun sequence.
GGCCGUGUAGCUCAAUGGCAGAGCGUCUGACUACGACUGAUGCCCUGUGGCGUUACGAUCUGUAAUCAGAAGGUCGCAGGUUCGACCCCUGUCUCGGUCA